GAUGAAGAACGUAGCGAAAUGCGAUAAGUAAUGUGAAUUGCAGAAUUCAGUGAAUCAUCGAAUCUUUGAACGCACAUUGCGCCCGCCAGUAUUCUGGCGGGCAUGCCUGUUCGAGCGUCAUUUCAACCAUCAAGCCCCCGGCUUGUGUUGGGGACCUGCGGCUGCCGCAGGCCCUGAAAACCAGUGGCGGGCUCGCUAGUCACUCCGAGCGUAGUAAUACAUCUCGCUCAGGGCGUGCUGCGGGUUCCGGCCGUUAAAAAAGCCUUAUUUACCCAAGGUUGACCUCGGAUCAGGUAGGGAUACCCGCUGAACUUAAGCAUAUCAAUAAGCGGAGGA
rnacentral:misc_RNA from 1 species